UACGUAGGGGGCAAGCGUUGUCCGGAAUCAUUGGGCGUAAAGCGCGCGUAGGCGGCCCUGUAAGUCCGUUGUGAAAGUCAAAGGCUCAACCUUUGAAAGCCGAUGGAUACUGCAGGGCUAGAGUCCGGAAGAGGCGAGUGGAAUUCCUGGUGUAGCGGUGGAAUGCGCAGAUAUCAGGAGGAACACCCAAUAGCGAAGGCAGCUCGCUGGGACGGUACUGACGCUAAGGCGCGAAAGCGUGGGGAGCGAACAGG
rnacentral:rRNA from 1 species